AUGGCUCGUCGUCUCAUUAGGCCCGCUGCGGCGUGCCAAGGUUGCAGUUUGGUUAAGGCUGGGUUUCUGGGCGUGGUCUCCCCUCUCCAUUAUCAAAGAUUGCCUUACUCCUCUUCAAAGAGAGGUUCCCCAGGGAAUAAGUACUCUGGCUGCCUCGCUAAUUUAACAAAGGAGGGUUCACACUGGACAGGAACAAGGUCCAAUCCUUUGUUGUCGUUACAUAGUUCAAAGUUUGUCAGCAAGAGGACAGCUUGUUUGAUUGCAACAGGGCCAUCUCCUGCUGCAACUGAAGAACCAGAGAUGGACCUUCCAAAGGAGAUAUUCUUGAAAGACUACAAAAAACCUGACUACUUGUUUGACACGGUGGAUUUAGAAUUUCAACUUGGUGAUGAAAAGACCAUGGUUACUUCUAAAAUAGCUGUAUCUCCAGGCAAUGAAGCAGGCAACUCAUCUCCACUCACUCUUCACGGAUGUGAUCUAAAGCUGUUAUCAAUCAAAAUCAAUGGCACAGAGCUGAAGAGUGACAAGUAUACAGUUGAUCCACGCCAUCUGACGAUUUUGACACCACCUGCUGGUGUAUUCAACAUGGAAAUUGUUACGGAGAUUUAUCCUCAGCUCAACACAUCUUUGGAGGGUUUGUACAGGUCGACUGGUAAUUUUUGCACCCAAUGUGAAGCAGAAGGAUUCCGGAAAAUUACCUACUUUCAGGAUCGCCCGGAUGUGAUGGCAAAAUAUACUUGUCGUAUUGAAGGUGAUAAAACUCUGUAUCCGGUGUUGUUGUCUAACGGCAAUCUUAUCGAACAGGGUGAUCUUGAGGGUGGAAAGCAUUACGCACUAUGGGAGGACCCAUUCAAGAAACCAUGCUACUUGUUUGCGCUAGUUGCUGGUCAGUUGGAGUGCCGGGAGGACUCAUUUGUUACAUGUUCUGGCCGCAAAGUUACACUUCGAAUUUGGACUCCUGCUCAAGAUUUGCCAAAAACAUCCCAUGCUAUGUAUUCUCUUAAAGAAGCUAUGAAAUGGGAUGAGGAGGUUUUUGGUCUUGAAUAUGAUCUUGAUUUGUUCAACAUUGUUGUUGUUCCUGAUUUCAAUAUGGGAGCAAUGGAAAACAAGAGCUUGAAUGUAUUUCAAUCUAGACUUGUGCUAGCAUCACCAGAAGCUGCCACUGAUGGUGAUUAUGCUGCAAUUUUGGGUGUCAUUGGACAUGAGUAUUUCCACAACUGGACUGGGAAUAGAGUGACUUGCCGUGAUUGGUUCCAACUAACGUUGAAAGAAGGACUAACUGUCUUCAGGGAUCAGGAAUUCUCAUCAGAUCUUGGCUGUCGCACAGUAAAGCGCAUAGCUGAUGUCUCUAAACUUAGAUCCUAUCAAUUCCCUCAGGAUGCUGGGCCUAUGGCACAUCCUAUUCGCCCCCUUUCAUAUAUCAAGAUGGACAACUUCUAUACUGGCACAGGUUUACGAAAAGGUGCUGAAGUCGUCAGGAUGUACAAGACAAUGUUUGGAGCUUCAGGGUUUCGAAAGGGCAUGGAUCUUUACUUCCAAAGGCAUGAUGGACAAGCCGUGACUUGUGAAGACUUUUACGCAGCCAUGUGUGAUGCAAAUAAUGCACACUUGCCGAACUUUUUACAAUGGUACUCUCAAGCAGGUACACCUACUGUAAAGGUAACUUCGUCAUAUGAUGAAGGUUCCCAGGCAUUCUCUUUGAAAUUAAGUCAAGAAGUGCCACCUACCCCUGGCCAACCGAUGAAAGAGCCAAUGUUCAUACCUGUUGCUGUUGGACUUGUUGAUUCGACCGGAAAAGAUAUGCCCCUGACUUCCAUCUACAGUGACGGAAUGGUCCAAACACUCUCUAAUGAUGGUCAUCCAAUCUUCACCACAGUGCUUCAGUUUAAGAAGAAGGAGGAAGAGUUUAUAUUUAAAAAUGUGCCUGAGAGACCAGUUCCUUCCUUGUUGAGGGGAUACAGUGCUCCCAUCCGUCUUGAUUCUGAUCUGACUGAGAGUGACUUAUAUUUCUUACUUGCUAAUGAUUCAGAUGAAUUUAACAGAUGGGAAGCAGGUCAAAUAUUGGCACGCAAAUUGAUGUUCAGUCUUGUGGCUGACUUCCAACAACAGAAAACACUGGCGCUAAAUACAAAAUUUGUUGAUGGACUUAGAGCAAUCCUGCAAAGCACAAGCUUGGAUAAAGAAUUCAUUGCAAAAGCAAUAACUCUGCCUGGUCAAGGUGAGAUUAUGGAUAUGAUGUCAAUUGCAGAUCCUGAUGCAGUUCAUGCUGUCCGGACCUUUAUUAAGAAAGAACUAGCCUUUCAACUCAAGGACGAUCUUCUCGCAGCUGUAACAAGCAACAGAAGUUCUGAAGCUUAUGCUUUUGACCAUGAUAGCGUGGCUCGCCGUGCAUUGAAAAAUACAUGUCUCGCUUAUCUUGCAUCCCUGAAUGAGCCAGAUGUCACUGAACUUGCAUUAAAUGAGUACAAGUCUGCUACUAACAUGACCGAGCAGUUUGCUGCAUUAGCAGCAUUGUCUCAAAAUCCAGGUCAAGUCCGUGAGGAUGCCCUUUUGGACUUCUAUAACAAAUGGCAGCAAGAUUAUUUGGUUGUAAGCAAGUGGUUUGCUCUUCAAGCUACCUCGGACAUUCCUGGAAAUGUAGUCAAUGUUCAAAAGUUACUGGCUCAUCCUGCUUUUGACAUGCGGAAUCCGAACAAGGUAUACUCUUUAAUUGGAGGAUUUUGUGGGUCACCUGUGAGUUUUCACGCGAAAGAUGGUUCUGGCUACAAGUUCUUGGGUGAAGUUGUCUUACAGCUCGACAAAAUAAAUCCUCAGGUGGCAUCCCGCAUGGUGUCAGCGUUCUCUCGAUGGAGGAGAUAUGAUGAGACCAGACAAGCUCUUGCUAAGGCCCAGCUGGAGAUGAUCAUCUCAGCCAAUGGACUCUCUGAAAAUGUCUAUGAGAUAGCUUUGAAAAGUUUGGCAGCUUAG
rnacentral:rRNA from 1 species